AGAGUUUGAUCCUGGUUCAGAGUGAACGCUGGCGGCGUGCUUAACACAUGCAAGUCGAACGAGAACGGGCCUAGCUUGCUAGGCUGUCAGCUAAGUGGCGGACGGGUGAGUAAUGUAUAGUUAAUUUGCCCCUUAGAGAGGGAUAACAGUUAGAAAUGACUGCUAAUACCUCAUACCCCUUCUACCUUAAUGGUAGUUGGGAAAUGUUUUUUCGCUAAGGGAUGAGACUAUAUGGUAUCAGGUAGUUGGUGGGGUAAGAGCCUACCAAGCCAAUGACGCCUAGCUGGUCUGAGAGGAUGAUCAGCCACACUGGAACUGAGACACGGUCCAGACUCCUACGGGAGGCAGCAGUGGGGAAUAUUGCACAAUGGAGGAAACUCUGAUGCAGCAACGCCGCGUGGAGGAUGACGCAUUUCGGUGUGUAAACUCCUUUUAUAUGGGAAGAUAAUGACG
rnacentral:rRNA from 1 species